GUCUGAUUGUAUAUAUAAUCAGUCUAACCUGCCCACUGAAAAUUUUAAAGGGCCGCAGUAUUCUAACUGUGCGAAGGUAGCAUAAUAAUUAGUCUUUUAAUUGAAGACCGGUAUGAAAGGUUGGACAAAGAAUAAACCGUCUCAAUUAUAUAAUAAAACUUAACUUCUAAGUGAAAAGGCUUAGAUUCUUUUAAAGGACGACAAGACCCUAUAAAACUUUACAUUUUUUAAUUAGAUUAUUAAUUAUUCUUUCAACUUAAUCUUUUUUAACAAUGUUUCAUUGGGGCGAUGGAAGUAUAAACUGUAACUGCUUUAAAAUCAAACAAUCAUAAUUGAAAAAAUGAGCCUUCAAAAAGAUCUCAGAAAAAGUUACUUUAGGGAUAACAGCGCAAUCUUUCUUAAGAGUCCAAAUCUACAGAAAGGAUUACGACCUCGAUGUUGAAUUAAGAUAUCACUAUGGCGCAGCCACCAUAUCUGAGGGUCUGUUCGACCUUUAAAUUCUUACAUGAUUUGAGUUCAAACCGGUGUGAG
rnacentral:rRNA from 1 species